UGAACAUGCUCUCUGACCAGAGCAGCAAUUCAUUUGGCUCAACUGACUUUGGGUGGGAUGAUGAGGCUAUGACCCCAGACUACACAUCUGUAUUCGUUCCUGAUGCUCCCUAUAGUAAGGUUGCUUACCUGGAAGGUGGAGCGCCAAAGAGAAUGAGGAUCAAUUUUGGUGUAGAUCUUUCUCCUCAGGGAAAUGAUGCACCCAAUCUCGCACAAGACAUAUCUGUUU
rnacentral:lncRNA from 1 species